GGGAUUGUGGCUUAGUGGUAGAGUGCUUGCUUAGCAUGCAUAAAGCCGUGGGUUCAAUUCCUCAAUACCA
rnacentral:tRNA from 1 species